rnacentral:rRNA from 1 species
GACGAACGCUGGCGGCGUGCUUAACACAUGCAAGUCGAACGGAAAGGCCCUGCUUUUGUGGGGUGCUCGAGUGGCGAACGGGUGAGUAACACGUGAGUAACCUGCCCUUGACUUUGGGAUAACUUCAGGAAACUGGGGCUAAUACCGGAUAGGAGCUCCUGCUGCAUGGUGGGGGUUGGAAAGUUUCGGCGGUUGGGGAUGGACUCGCGGCUUAUCAGCUUGUUGGUGGGGUAGUGGCUUACCAAGGCUUUGACGGGUAGCCGGCCUGCGAGGGUGACCGGCCACAUUGGGACUGAGAUACGGCCCAGACUCCUACGGGAGGCAGCAGUGGGGAAUAUUACACAAUAGGCGGGAGCCUGAUGCAGCAACGCCGCGUGCGGGAUGACGGGCUUCGGGUUGUAAACCGCUUUCGCCUGUGACGAAGCGUGAGUGACGGUAAUGGGUAAAGAAGCACCGGCUAACUACGUG